rnacentral:rRNA from 1 species
UACGGGGGGGGCGAAGCGUUGUUCGGAAUUACUGGGCGUAAAGGGCUCGUAGGCGGCCAACUAAGUCAGACGUGAAAUCCCUCGGCUUAACCGGGGAACUGCGUCUGAUACUGGAUGGCUUGAGAUUGGGAGAGGGAUGGCGGAAUUCCAGGUGUAGCGGUGAAAUGCGUAGAUAUCUGGAGGAACACCGGUGGCGAAGGCGGCAUCCUGGACCAACACUGACGCGU